rnacentral:rRNA from 1 species
CCUACGGGAGGCAGCAGUGAGGAAUAUUGGUCAAUGGGCGAGAGCCUGAACCAGCCAAGUCGCGUGAGGGAGUACUGCCCUAUGGGUUGUAAACCUCUUUUGUCGGGGAGCAAAAGCCGGACGUGUCCGGCUGUGAGAGUACCCGAAGAAAAAGCAUCGGCUAACUCCGUGCCAGCAGCCGCGGUAAUACGGAGGAUGCGAGCGUUAUCCGGAUUUAUUGGGUUUAAAGGGUGCGCAGGCGGGUUUUUAAGUCAGCGGUAAAAUCGUGGGGCUCAACCCCAUCCAGCCGUUGAAACUGGGGAUCUAGAGUGUGCGAGAGGUAUGCGGAAGGCGUGGUGUAGCGGUGAAAUGCAUAGAUAUCACGCAGAACCCCGAUUGCGAAGGCAGCAUACCGGUGCACAACUGACGCUCAGGCACGAAAGCGUGGGUAUCGAACAGGAUUAGAUACCCGGGUAGUC